rnacentral:rRNA from 1 species
UACAGAGGGUGCAAGCGUUGUUCGGAAUUAUUGGGCGUAAAGGGCGCGUAGGCGGCCUGGCAAGUGGAAGGUGAAAUCCCUCGGCUUAACCGAGGAACUGCCUUCCAAACUGCUUGGCUUGAGUCCGGGAGAGGUGAGUGGAAUUCCCAGUGUAGCGGUGAAAUGCGUAGAUAUUGGGAGGAACACCAGUGGCGAAGGCGGCUCACUGGACCGGAACUGACGCUGAUGCGCGAAAGCGUGGGGAGCAAACGGG